rnacentral:lncRNA from 1 species
CGUCUCCCUGCCUCCUCCCGCGCCCGCCUCCCUACCUCUCUCCCUCCCUCCGCCUCUCCGCCCUCCCCCCAACCCCGCUCCUUUUUCUGCUCCCCAAGUGAGCCUGGCGCGCGAGAGGCAGGCGGGGCGGCGCAGAGCAGAGCAGGCAGCCUAGCGCGCUCGCCCACCGCCCGCCCGGCGCAGCUCCCCGAGGCCACUCUAGUCGCCGCCGCCGGCGCGUCGGAGAGAGCCCAGCAUGGCCGGGCCGGGCUCACAGCGCCGAGCGUCCCGGGGGGCCUCGGCGCUCCUGGCCGCCGCGCUUCUCUACGCCGCGCUGGGGGAUGUGGUGCGCUCGGAGCAGCAGAUCCCGCUCUCCGUGUAAGUGCCGGGUGCUGCGCCGCCCGGGGAGGGGACCCCGCCGCCCGCAACCCACUGUGCCCAAGUUUGGGCACCUGCAGGUGCGGCUGGACAGGACCUGCCAGGGGCGCCGGCCUUGCCGGCCUCGCCUCUCGCACCUGCCUUUCAGGAUCAGCGUGAGGCGGCGAAGCUGGGGUGGGAUCCUCUCAGCCCUUCCUUCGGGUUGGCGAGUGAGACCUGGAGAGGCUCACCUCAAGUGACAGCACCAAGUUUGGAGCCUGUUUACCGACUCCAACUUCCAUGGGCCAUUUAAUUACCUCCUUCUUUGCUACCUUGUCAUCUCACUUAUUUUGUGGGAAGGGGGAUGGGUGGUGGAUUUUUUUUCGGACUAGUAUGUAUGUCCAGCGAUGCCCAUUUUGGGUGAUCAAGUCUUCAGGUAAUUGUUCAAAUAAAACCCACUGGGCUUUUUGGAGAGCCCGGGAGACUUUGCGCAUUCUGAACUAUGUGACCCCCCUAGUAUCCCCUCCCGCGCUGUGCUCUGCAGUUUGGCACCGGUAGUUUCUGCCAGGGCGCUUUUUCUAGCUUUUCUCCCCUUUUCUUUGAUGUUACAUUGCUCGGGUUCUUUCAGCCAUAGCCCCGUGUGUGCGUGCGUGUCGACUGUGGCACGAGUGUUACAUUUCAUCCUGUGCCCUUUCUCCCUGUAGGGUGAAGCUGUGGGCCUCCGCUUUUGGUGGAGAGAUAAAAUCCAUCGCUGCUAAGUACUCCGGUUCCCAGCUUCUGCAAAAGGUAAGGUUUCCGUGGUGGCA